AUGAAAGUUUGUUGCAGUUGGAGACGGUGUCUGAGAUGUGAACCUUGUUGCAGUUGGAGACGGUGUCUGAGAUGUGAACCUUGUUGCAGUUGGAGACGGUGUCUGAGAUGUGAACCUUGUUGCAGUUGGAGACGGUGUCUGAGAUGUGAACCGUGUUGCAGCUGGAGACGGUGUCUGAGAUGUGAACCUUGUUGGAGACGGUGUCUGAGAUGUGAACCUUGUUGCAGUUGGAGACGGUGUCUGAGAUGUGAACCUUGUUGCAGUUGGAGACGGUGUCUGAGAUGUGAACCUUGUUGGAGACGGUGUCUGAGAUGUGAACCUUGUUGCAGUUGGAGACGGUGUCUGAGAUGUGAACCUUGUUGGAGACGGUGUCUGAGAUGUGAACCUUGUUGCAGCUGGAGACGGUGUCUGAGAUGUGAACCUUGUUGGAGACGGUGUCUGAGAUGUGAACCUUGUUGCAGCUGGAGACGGUGUCUGAGAUAUGAACCUUGUUGGAGACGGUGUCUGAGAUGUGAACCUUGUUGGAGACGGUGUCUGAGAUGUGAACCUUGUUGGAGACGGUGUCUGAGAUGUGAACCUUGUUGGAGACGGUGUCUGAGAUGUGAACCUUGUUGCAGCUGGAGACGGUGUCUGAGAUGUGAACCUUGUUGGAGACGGUGUCUGAGAUGUGAACCUUGUUGCAGUUGGAGACGGUGUCUGAGAUGUGAACCUUGUUGGAGACGGUGUCUGAGAUGUGAACCUUGUUGCAGUUGGAGACGGUGUCUGAGAUGUGAACCUUGUUGGAGACGGUGUCUGAGAUGUGAACCUUGUUGCAGUUGGAGACGGUGUCUGACAUGUGAACCUUGUUGCAGUUGGAGACGGUGUCUGAGAUGUGAACCUUGUUGGAGACGGUGUCUGAGAUGUGAACCUUGUUGCAGUUGGAGACGGUGUCUGAGAUGUGAACCUUGUUGGAGACGGUGUCUGAGAUGUGAACCACUCUCAUUUCAGUUCAGUUCCACUAAGUUGCUGUGUGAAAGAUGGGUCCACACUCCCUCUAAACAAGGUUUAUAA
rnacentral:lncRNA from 1 species